rnacentral:rRNA from 1 species
UUGUCGGGUAAGUUCCGACCUGCACGAAUGGUGUAAUGAUCCGGACGCUGUCUCAACCGUGAGCUCAGUGAAAUUGUAGUAUCGGUGAAGAUGCCGAUUACCCGCGAUGGGACGAAAAGACCCCGUGAACCUUUACUACAGCUUAGCAUUGACCUUGGUCAUCGGAUGUGUAGGAUAGGCCGGAGGCAUUGAAUCAUGCGCGCCAGCGUGUGUGGAGCCAUCCUUGAAAUACGGCCCUUCUGCUGCCUGAGGUCUAACGCGCGCUGCGCGGACACUGCUUGGUGGGUAGUUUGACUGGGGUGGUCGCCUCCAAAAGCGUAACGGAGGCUUCCAAAGGUGCCCUCGGGCCGAUUGGUAACCGGCCUUAUAGAGUGCAAUGGCAUAAGGGCGCUUGACUGGGAGGCAGACAUGCCGAGCAGGCAGGAAACUGGGGCAUAGUGAUCCGGCGGAUCCGUAUGGAAGGUCCGUCGCUCAAAGGAUAAAAGGUACUCCGGGGAUAACAGGCUGAUCC